AAGAAAGAGAAGCAGUUGUGUGGGACAAGCUGACAGCAGCAGAACUGCACUGAAAGUCAAGUGAAGAGAGGAUAAAGAUCCAACACACUUUCUCUGGCAACUCUUGAAUUCUACAUCAAUUACUAUUUGUCCAGGUGGCUUCAACAUUGACCUUCCUUUGUAUUUAGGAACAAACAGUUCAGUUUGUUUCCUGGAUCUGCAUUUCUGUCCCCAGAUCCCCAUACAUCAAUGGAGACCACAGCUUUCUCUCCUGAGGGAGGCAGGCAGCCAGAUACAGGCAGGAUGGGCUGUCUAAAGAAGGAAGAAAUGAAAACAACCCAGAGGAGGUCAUGUCCUGUUGGAAGCAAAAUAAGCACAGAAGGUAGAGGGCUCACUCUGGUGAAGGCACCGUGAUAUGGGGC